rnacentral:rRNA from 1 species
GAUGAACGCUGACAGAAUGCUUAACACAUGCAAGUCUACUUGAAUUUGGGUUUUUUAACUUAGAUUUGGGUGGCGGACGGGUGAGUAACGCGUAAAGAACUUGCCUCACAGUUAGGGACAACAUUUGGAAACGAAUGCUAAUACCUGAUAUUAUGAAUAUAUGGCAUCAUAUAAUUAUGAAAGCUAUAGGCGCUGUGAGAGAGCUUUGCGUCCCAUUAGCUAGUUGGAGAGGUAACGGCUCACCAAGGCGAUGAUGGGUAGCCGGCCUGAGAGGGUGAACGGCCACAAGGGGACUGAGACACGGCCCUUACUCCUACGGGAGGCAGCAGUGGGGAAUAUUGGACAAUGGACCAAGAGUCUGAUCCAGCAAUUCUGUGUGCACGAUGACGUUUUUCGGAAUGUAAAGUGCUUUCAGUUGGGAAGAAAAAAAUGACGGUACCAACAGAAGAAGUGACGGCUAAAUACGUG